CUUAUCUAAAUCUUUUUGAACAAUUAUAUAAUAAGAAUUAUUUAAUACCUAUCUUUGUAAGCACAUUUAUAAACUUUUGACAUGAGAUUUGUAAGUUCCUAACCAGCAUUAAUAUUAUAUUAAGAAAUUUGUAAUAAAAGUGUCUAACAUUUCUUUUCAUAAAAUAUAUAACAGUUUAGAAAAAUAGUGUAUUUUAAGGCAUAUGUGGAGCAAACUGACAUAUUCUUUCAUCUACAAAAGUUGCAAGAAGUUCAUGAGAAACAAAAAGAUUGAGUUGUCAGUAUUCAUAGUGCUUCUCCCUGUUCAUUUAUUACUUUGUGCACCAGCAUAUUCUGGUAAAUGCUUAAUAACUGGUUCUCCCAAAAGAAAUGCCCCAAGUGUGGAAUCUAUUAACUUCUUUAGUGCAAAUACCCCCAUAAUGGUCAAUUCCAGGGCCGCGUAACACUGAGUAGCAGAGGCAUGCACUAAUCAGAUCUCAUUAGGUCCUAAGGACUGACUGGAGCAUUUGCUGCCUGUAAACAGGAGACAAAGGAUUGUUAGGGGCAUCAUAACUGUUUGAGAGUGUUGACAUCUUACAAAGAUGAGGGGAAAGUCAGAGGUUGGGGCUGGUGAGGCUUCUCAGUGAUUUUUCAUGGAGAUUUUGCUGGUUUCUGAGUGAUGAUGUGGGCUUUAAAAAUAUAUGGACCAUUUGAUUUUCAGAUACCUAGGCAAUCAAGGUGACAUUUGUGUUAUCCUGCUUUUAGUGUGUCAGGUAGGAAAAAAAUUGUCAGUUGGGAAAUAAUGCUGUUUUUUAUUCCUUAGCAUUUAGAGUUUAAAUAUAAUGACUUUAGUAAUAAUCCCACUAAUAACUAUAUGUGUCUUGGUAAGAUAUCCUAUUUUUUCCACAGUAUUGACCAUUUAAUCAUUGAAGGUGUUAUGUGAAGAGAAUAUGAUGACUCUGAGAAUGUUGCUGGUACUGAAGUUUUGAUGGGAUCCAAAGAGUGUUAACAGUUCCCUAAUGAUGAAAGUGGACCAAGGUAUAGACAUGCAAUAAGAUGUGCACCAAACACUGGGAUUUUUAGAUUUCUGUCAAGACCUUAUAGUAACCCUUUCAACUGUUGGUCAGCACACCAUGUAGAUACGGUGGUAAGUCUCAUGAUGACCAACAGUGGCAGUUUGUUGUAUCCAUGGCCAUGAUGAUCAAGAGGGAUAUUGUGAAAGAUGAUGCGUCCUAAACACACAUCUCAAAGUGUUGUCUAAGAUUCCAACAGUUAUUAAAUUAUAGUGAUUGAACUUAAGAAUGGUAAUUUAUGAAAUGUUAUGACUAACCUGUUCCUCUGAAGACACUGUGGUUAUCCUACCCAUGGGAGUGAGUCAAGUCCAUAGAGGGUUAUGAGAUGCCCUUCAAGAGAACACAGUGAUCCAGAAAAGAUGGUUGUUGCAGUCACCCUAGUAACAAGAUGUAAUAUGCUUGUAUUGCUACUGGUGGAGAAGAGAUUCAUGUAAUUUUCACUGAGUCCAUCUCUGAAAUAUUGUCCUUGGAAGGUUUGCAUGUAUCACUGAAGACAGACAACACUCUCUUACAAGGCUUUAUCCAUGGAAGCCUCCAAGUAUCUAGAUAACAUAAGUGGAUGCUGAAACGAUGAAGUGACAUAGG
ensembl:lncRNA